rnacentral:rRNA from 1 species
CCUACGGGAGGCAGCAGUGAGGAAUAUUGGUCAAUGGACGAGAGUCUGAACCAGCCAAGUAGCGUGAAGGAUGACUGCCCUAUGGGUUGUAAACUUCUUUUAUAUGGGAAUAAAACAGGGUAUGCAUACCCUCUUGUAUGUACCAUAUGAAUAAGGAUCGGCUAACUCCGUGCCAGCAGCCGCGGUAAUAAGGAGGAUCCUGGCGUUAUCCGGAUUUAUUGGGUUUAACGGGAGCGUAGGUGGAUUGUUAAGUCAGUUGUGAAAGUUUGCGGCUCAACCGUAAAAUUGCAGUUGAAACUGGCAGUCGUGAGUACAGUAGAGGUGGGCGGAAUUCGUGGUGUAGCGGUGAAAUGCUUAGAUAUCACGAAGAACUCCGAUUGCGAAGGCAGCUCACUGGACUGCAACUGACACUGAUGCUCGAAAGUGUGGGUAUCAAACAGGAUUAGAUACCCUAGUAGUC